GAUCAUGGCUCAGGAUGAACGCUAGCGACAGGCUUAACACAUGCAAGUCGAGGGGUAGCACAGGUAGCAAUACCGGGUGGCGACCGGCGCACGGGUGAGUAACGCGUAUGCAACUUACCUAUCAGAGGGGGAUAACCCGGCGAAAGUCGGACUAAUACCGCAUGAAGCAGGGGCCCCGCAUGGGGAUAUUUGCUAAAGAUUCAUCGCUGAUAGAUAGGCAUGCGUUCCAUUAGG
rnacentral:rRNA from 1 species